GCCCCAGUCGUCUAAUGGUCAGGACAACACCUUGCACGGUGGGAAUCGGCGUUCAAUUCGUCGUUGGGGCG